rnacentral:lncRNA from 1 species
UUCCUGAAUAUGUAUAUUUAUUUAAUUUUGGACUUUUUGCUUUUACAAGUAAGCCUGGUUAUUCCUUUUUCCUUUUCAUUUAAUUAAUGUCUAGCUUCUGUAGACUUGAAAUAUGUUAUCUUGAAGUUAAUUAUGUAGGAGAUUCCCAGAUACAGUACACAGAAGUAAAAUCUGUAUGUGAUGAAUUAGAAGUGGCUAGUAAAUACAAAUUGUACUGCUAGGCUGGAGCACCCGGGUCUCUUUGUCAUUUUUUUUCUUUCUUUCUUUUUUCUUCUUUUUUUUUUUUUUCAGCUUUGGGCCUGUGGAUGGAGCAUUUGUUUGCUUAAAAUUUUCAGAGUACCUAUUUCAUACGAAAAGUGAGGGUGGAUUUUGGCAUCACUGCAGGUUCUUUUUCCAGAACCUUUUGGCCUUUUUCAAGUGUCUGGGCUCUAACUCAAAGUUACUAACCACAUCUGGCAUCUGGAGCACAGAAAGUUCAAGGCAGGAUGUCUCAACAGCCUGCAAAGAGUUCCAAAAAUUUAGAGAGAUGUUUACAGCUACAGAGGAUGAAAUGAAUUAUUAACUCAGGAUGACUCCUGGAAGAUAUCAUAUUUGUAUUUGGAAGAUGGAAGAUUAAAAAAAAAUGUUGCCUCUGGCACUUGUGAGUCUGCUAUGCAUUUCAGUUUACUUAAUAGAUUCAUUACUAACACUUUAUUUAGCUGUAGUGCAUAUAUGCCAAUAGUUGCUGUAUAGACUUUUUACUGCACAAGUAAAAUCAGGUGGCUGUUCAUUCAUGUGUCUUUAGUAGGAUUUUAGCUCCUCAGUUUGCUCCUAAAUACUGGCACCCUUGAACAGAGGAUGGAUUUUUCAUGCAAUCAGAGAAUAUUCUAAAGAUCAGAUCUAUGAGUGUCUGUUUUCUUUAAAAUUGGUCAAUUUUCUUUUUUUUUUUUUUCACUAAUGGUGUUUUCCCACAGAAAAUACUAGUAAAUUGAAGCCAUAAAUUGUAUUGGGUUCAACAAAAUUUCCAGUAACAUGCUUGAGAUAAUUGAAAAAAAUAUUUUAUACUAUUGGGGCUUUACUAUUUCAUUUCAGUUCGAUGUCAGAAAGUUCUGUUUCUGUUACAUGUUAUUGCAUGUAUCCAUUGACUGAGUUCACACUGAUGAUGCUCUUGGCUCACUAUAGCAAACUCUGGUCACAGUUGCAGUCUGCCCCUCAUAUUUGAAAAUUUGGUCAUUUGAAACGGGGCCUGUUUACAAUUGUGCUGGGAAGAGACUGCCGAGAGGAACAGAAAUAGUAGCAGCACGAGAGCAGGCUGGUUACAUACUUAAGUAUACUUCCUGAAUGAUGAAAAAGAGUAUUGGGAAUUAUUAAUAGUCUUUGACUCAAAGAAGAGAGAAAAAUACCUCUGAUAACGCAAUAUUGCUGUUUGAUCUGGCAGCCUCACAAUUCCCAGUGCAACAAACUGAGUUUAUGGUUCUAGGAACAGCAGUACAGGCUGUUCAUGGGCAGUAUUCCUCUGAGCAGUACUGAAGAAGGAGAAAUAGAAGAAAGUUAACUUUUGGAAGAAAAGGAAGCUAUUCCAC